AUUGAACGCUGGCGGCAUGCUUUACACAUGCAAGUCGAACGGUAACAGGCCUUCGGGUGCUGACGAGUGGCGCACGGGUGCGUAAUGCAUCGGAACGUACCCAGAGGUGGGGGAUAACGCAGCGAAAGCUGUGCUAAUACCGCAUGUGAUCUGAGGAUGAAAGCGGGGGACCGCGCAGCAAUGUUUGGCCUCGCGCCUUUGGAGCGGCCGAUGUCGGAUUAGCUAGUUGGUGGGGUAAAGGCCUACCAAGGCGACGAUCCGUAGCUGGUCUGAGAGGACGACCAGCCACACUGGGACUGAGACACGGCCCAGACUCCUACGGGAGGCAGCAGUGGGGAAUUUUGGACAAUGGGCGCAAGCCUGAUCCAGCAAUGCCGCGUGCGGGAAGAAGGCCUUCGGGUUGUAAACCGCUUUUGGCAGGAACGAAACGGUGUCCGCUAAUACCGGGCGCUAAUGACGGUACCUGCAGAAUAAGCACCGGCUAACUACGCG
rnacentral:rRNA from 1 species